AAAUAAUAUAAGUCUCUGUGUAUUUAUCUGGGUCCCAGUGGCUUUUGGACCUGAUGGGACAAAGGAAAACUUCUGACUACACUGGACACACCUUCUCAGUUUGCUUCUUAAAAAGUCCAGGAGUGAUCCUCUGGGGUCUGAGCUAUUCUGAGAAGUAUUUUCCUUGUCUCCUUCAACUUGAAGAAACUAUCACUUUCCGUUGAAUUGUCCAGGGGUUUUCAAAGUUAGGUGUGUUUGACAAUCAUGUAUAUACACGUAUAUGAGCUCCCAGGACAUGGGGAGGACUUAUUAAAAUUUAGAUGCUGGGAAUUUCCCCUCAGUACCAAAUGAGAGUUUCCAGUUGUGGUGCCCAAAGUACAUAGAUUGAAAAUGUUUCCAAGUACUUCUGAUGCAUACCAAAGUCCACCCACAGAUCAGUGAGUGCUCUUCCCAUAGACAUCGAUGUUCAAGUUUACUGCCUGGGCAGAUGUGUGGAUGCAUGGAAUGGUUUGAGAAAUGUUCCCCACAGGCUCAGAUAUUUGAAUAUGUAGUACCUAGUUGGUGGCGCUGUUUAGAGAGGUUAUGGAACCUUUAAGAGGGCCUUGCUGGAGGAAGUAUGAUACUGAGGGUGGGCUUUCUGAGUUUAUAGCUUCACCUUUUCCCCAGUUCUCGAGCUGCUUCCUUUGUGUGGAUGAAAACAUGAUCAGCCAGCUUCCUGCUCCACCACCCACUACCAUGCCCUCCUAAUUAUUACAGAGUCCUACUCUGGAACUCUAAUUAAAAAAGAAACUCUUUUAUAACUUGCUUUUGGUCAUGGUGUUUUUAGUUUCACCAACGGAAAAGUAAAUACCAUGCAUAUCUUUAAAAAAAAAGUGAACACAUUUAAUUUAUAUAAAAGGAGAUGAUGUGUUGGGAAGGAGGUCUUGAGAGGGGCCAAUCAGAAUGCUCGGACCUCCCCAGCCUGUGCCCAGUUUUCCCAGUCUGCUUGUCUUCUCUGGGUUGCACAGAAAAAUUGGCAUCCCACGGUUUCAGGCAAGCUACUCUGCAAGUGAUUGCAGGUCAUACAGAUAUAUAUUUUAAGGUGAAAAAAAUCUUUUAAUAUAACAAAUAAUUGCCUUUUCACCAAUCAAUUUGUCUUGUGACUGUAGAUGUUCAACAAUAGGAUGAUGUAUAAUAAGCACAUUUUUAAACAUCCAAAUGCACACACAGGUGGAAAACAUCAAGUUUUUAGGAAAGGCAUUUUCCCCAAAUUCUGACUUUUUUCCUCCUUCUGAUUUUCCAAAGGAGUAUCAAAGUCAGAGUUGAGGGAGGGAGGUUGGUGAAUUCUCAUCCCUAAUUCGUUCCUAGAGUCUACCGAAUGUUGGCUUUGAUUUGGCUAUUUUGAUUUCUUUUCGUGUUUCAGAGAGUUCUUACCUGAUGGGUAGGAGGUAGAGGAAGAUGAGGUUUAGUUCCUGUGUGUGGCUUGACUAAGCACGACAGCCUGAUUUAUCCAAGGAAGACGGCCCAGACUCCCAGGACUCAGAUUGUCUCAUAGUGCCCAGAGGACUCUAUCUGAGAUUUACAGCAUAAGUCGCUUAGGGAAUCAGUAAAGUGUAGUAAAUAUACAACAUUCACAGUCUAUGAAAGAAUUAAUUCUAACAUAAGAGAAGUACAGGCUCCUUGGAGAGAAUUUGGGGAACGGGACAUGCAGGAAAAGUAAGGAUGGAAGUGUUGAGAGCAGAAUCUCAGACAUACUGGUUCAAAUCCAACCUUACUUGCCCCUGCAUACAUCACUCCACAGCUGAUAAUUCUUAUCUAUUAAAUAAGAACUGUCUCUCUCCCAUUGGCAAAGGUUUGCUCCAGCACUUUCUGGAAAAGUACUUCACAGUAAGUAGCUAGUCAUGUGACUCAUCUGAGAAAAUUACGUCAUUGCCGCUGGUAGCAGAAUGUGGGGACCACUUGCUAUUCUUUCUAGGCAGACAUGCUUGACUUUUAACCGCUCUUGGUCUUAGGUGGGAUUGGCUUUAUUCACCUUCCUAACGCUAAGGCAGCAAAACGUUUUGAAGGAAUUUGUUGCGGUAUCUUAAGUUAGUAACAUUACUGGGGGAUAGAUUUCAUUUCUGCCUCUUUUCGUAGCGCGUUAACUGAAGCGUUUUUCUUAGUUUGUUAAAAUGAUUGUUUUAAAAAAAAGUUUCUUUAAAACAAGUAACGUUCACAGGAAACUUGUGUAGUAAUGCUUCAUUUUAUCACGUUUCUGAAACACAGAGGAAGGAUGUCAACUUGUAUGUAAAACUGUAGUUAGCCUUUAUGUGGAUGGCAUCUUUCUAAAAAAAUCUAGAAACAUUUCACGUUGGAAGCAAAACACUGUGCUCUCCUUUUGAAUCUGAGCGAAAUCCAAGUGUAUAGUAACACGUCAUUACCUCUUGAGAAAAGUAAACUCCACAUCACUAGCUCUUGAGAAAGGUGAAGGCAGUGUCUGGCAGUCAGGCCUCUCCUCUUCCUUCCUCUCAGCAGGCUGCUCGGGGACCCCCGGAGGGUGGUGCAGCAGCUUCACCCUUGUCGAAGCUGUCUCCUUGUGGAGCUGUGUUUCCUUCCUCUCCCCUCUCCAGUCCCUGAUCCCUGCAUUGUUCCAGAUGCCAAGCCUUCAGUCUGUCUACUCAGCAAGGGGAAGGGCAGGGCACAACUUUGAAAGAAUAACUCUACGCUCUUACACAGAACACCCGACACAAGACAUCCUGUGUUUCCUUUCGUGGACGCGACCCUCCCCGUAGGGACAAGGGAGCCACACACCAGGGUUUGUAUUCAGGUAGGUGGUGGUGUGGUCACAUGCUGCUGUGGAUGGUGCACACUGAUUUUAAGGGACAACUUGCUCUCUUCCCCCACACCCUGCCACCCCUCUCCGUGGGCUGCCACACCUGUCCUUUCUCUGCUGUAUUUACGUGGAUGAUUUUUUUUUGACUGAUUCUGAAGCCCAUGGCCAUCCUGACAGGUCCAUGGGUGUGAGUAUCUUUGUAUUCUCCUUUCUGUGAAGUACUUGCUCUAAACCCAGGGCCUGGCAGAAGGGCAGCACUCAAUGAAUGUUUGUAGCAUGAACAGAAGAACUAGCUCCCCUUUCAGUACUCUUCCUAAAUAAUCACAAGGAAGUAACUGGCAAAAUCAGGUUGGGAGGGCUAGGAAGAGGACCCAGUCAGGAAAGUGUGUGCCACACAAAGAGGAUACAAUAACACACACACACACACACACACACACACACACACACACACACACACACACACACACACACACACACACACACACACACAUGAUUUGUAUUCAGGACCAUCUUUCAUAUUUUAGAUUGAAUAAAAAUAAGUUCUUAAGAUUCAUAUAGUACAUAUUUGGCACUCUGUGAAAUUCAAACAAUGUCGUCUAAUAUACAAAUACCGUGGGAGAACAGAGCGGACCGAUGACCAACAGGUAGCUGGCCAGGCAGUGCUGGUUAUCAUUAUAACUAGCCCCUUGCAGCAACAGCAGCUAGGGUUGGCAAACCCUAGCUGGUGGGCUGGGUCCAGCCUGUGGCAUGUUUUUAUACAAUGCACAAUGUUUCACUGAACACAGCUCAGAAGUGAGUAGUUGUAAGAGUUGGAAGACUCAAAGCCUAGCAUAGCCACUCUGGCCUUCAGCCCAGGGUCCAACGGCACAUGUCCCAUGGACCAGGUUGAUUCCCAAGCUGCUUAUCAUCGGUCUGUAACAGGGAAAGUACAGAAACAGAUGAAACACUUGGAAACAUCUGUAAAUAUCUGCCAUGGAAGGCCAAGUUCAUAAUUUGGUUUGUGAAAAUUAAAAAAAAAAAAACAUUGUUUCAUGGUAGAUUAGGAAUAAAAAACAAACAAACAGCAACAACAACAAAAAUCCAACAACAAAAAGCUGAUGUAAAGCCUGGUCUUUCCCACUGGAAUGGAAUCUAAUGUUUUGUAGCGGGUUUUGCGGUCAGUAAGACAUGGUCGUGUGCUUGCAGAUGGAAACAUCUGGAAGCCUAUCAGGUGUGAAUGACAAACACGUCCUGAGAUUGCAAGUGACCUGGGAAGGUUGAUGAACAAGCACAUUAAUAACGUCAUGCUAAUGGAUUUCCUAUGCAGAUGAAUGGGCCAGCCACAGUUCACUUAUCAGCUAAUACAGUUGUAAUGUGUUGUUUCGUGCCUGAGAGCGGGCAGCCACCUUCAGAUGUUCCAGAUGCCCCGUGCACACGUGUAAACUAAUUCCCCUUCGAGGGAGGUCGAUGUAUUUUAAGUUGACAAGUUGUCCUCUCCGCCACCAACUUUCCUGGAAAUCCAGGAAAAUAGCGCUUCUACGACAAUCCUCAUGUUUUUGUCGGCUGUGCCCAUUAAAAACAAAAGAAAGAAAGGAAAAAAAAAGAGCAGACUGACUUUUUUUUUUUCCUUUCCUGUUUUAGAAUCUGUUCCAAGCAGUCAAGCCUGCCAGAAAAAACAGACAAAGUCUCAAGUACAACAAUGCCUAUUAUGUGUAGGGUGGGUGCUGGCAGCCUCUGAUUACUGCCCAGACAUUAACCCCUUUGCUGUCUUAGGGAAGAAGGACGGAGGCUGAAUCCAGAGGUUUCCAGAAUUCUGCAGACACUCAUGGUGUAAGAACUUGUGUUUUUAAUAAUGAGUACUGAGAGAGGGACUCACAAGUUACAGCGGCAUCAGCCCUUCCCUGGAUGCUGUCAAGACCCAUUCUUUCAAGCAGUCCAGACAGACCUCCUUGGCUCCAUCUGCCCUUCUCUUUGGGGGUUUGUCUGAUGAUGGGGGAGCAGCUGCUCCUUGCUACCUCCUCCAUGUGUGCUGGUCUCCCCUGUCAGAGGGGAGAGUCAAGUCCUGCUCUCCUAGAGGAAACUCUGUGGGUUCCUUAAGGUCACCCUUUAGUAAGGCUGGUGGAAAGAAAAAAAAAAAACCAUAAAAACUCUUGUGAUAAAUUUCUUUCCCUUCCCCACACGUCCUUUGCAGGUCAACAGACUCAGAUCUCAGAUAAGGAGAGAACAGUGCAGCUCCCAAGUGAGAGGGUGAUGCAAGCAGACUGUCCACUGGAUGCCUAGACAGUGUGGGCACACAUACUGUGCAUCCGUGUGGCCUUCUCUUGUUCUUCCCUAUUUUCUCACACACAUAUACACACACACACACACUCAUAUAUAUAUAAGUGUGAUUCAGUAGUACAUUAUUCGCCUAGGGAAUUCUGCUCCCCCUCACCCCAGUUCAGGGAAACACAGGUUGUCGUCAGAGUUACGAUCCAUGACCAAGUGUGUUGGAUCCAUGACCAAGCAUGAUGGAUACAAGGAACAGUGCUAACUUUCCUUCCUAAAGAUGAAUAAAGAUGUAGAGAGAAGUUAAUGUCCUUUCUUGGAAAUUCAUCUUCUGGUCAGCGAGAAGUGUAUCCCGUACAGAGGGGCGCGAGGCUGGGAGAGUUUGUGCACAGUGCUGCGGUACUUGAGCUGUGCCUUCUGGGCACGGGGCAUUCACGAAGCGGUGACAGAAGAGGAGACCCUUGAGCUGAGUAUGUGUUUGUUGUGCAUUAAGAGAUCUGGAUUGACCAGAGGCGUUUCAGAGGCAGGAGUAAUCCUACCAUCCACAGUGGGGGGAUGAGGAAGUGGGCAGUUCAUCAAGGCUGUCUCCACUAACCUUACCUUUAUGUUGCUCCCCCCCCCCCGCCCACCCCGUUGAUUCCCUUGGGUCACUGCCACUCCGUGCUAAAAGGAAACCCCACAGGACGGUCAACUCAGCUUAACUAGAUGUACUGACGAUAUCUAGGGAAGUCUCUGCAGAUGCAAAAGCAACCUGAACUUUUCGCUCAUUGUUAACUUAUAGGUAUUGUUUGCUUAUGAGUAACUGUUUCAGAGAUGAGAUGCCGGUCUGCUCCUGGAAGUGAGCCGGUACAUUGGGUGGAGGGCCAGAAGAAAUUGAUCCCAUUGUUCCCCAUCACUUGUUUGUCUCAUCUGCAAGCCUGUGCAGCAGCCAGGGUCUCAGAACUGAAAAGGAGUCCUAUUGUUCCUGCUGGGCAUUCGCUCUUCCCACCAUGCCAAGAGUGGCGAAAAGAAGAUGGAGCUGCUAUUGUGUGGGAGAUUGAAAUUUCAUGACUCUCAGCGGAACUUCAAGCAGUCUUGAUUUUGAAAAGCAGAAUCUUCGUGGAAUAUCUAUGCAGGGCUAGAAGAAGAAUGGAAUGAGCUCAGAGCCUCUCAGAAGUAUGAGGGGAGUGUGAAAAAGAGAGAGAGAGAAUGUAGCACUCUCUAAUAGCAGAACUUAAGACACUAGGCACACAAGCCUCGAUGAUGGAGCGACACCCGUGACCACAGUUUGAGAUCUGGUGCUGGCCUGGACCACUCAUCAGAAAAUACUUUUUCAGAUUUCUGUUUCAUUGUCUGUGUCUCAAACUAUGUUCUGGAAAGAAAUUCAUCUGUUGUUGAAAAAAAAAAAGUCCUUUCUCCUCAGUGAAAUUAAAUUUAUUAUGAAUGUUUUGCCUCUGAA